GAUGAACGCUGGCGGCGUGCCUAAUACAUGCAAGUCGAGCGAACGGACGAGAAGCUUGCUUCUCUGAUGUUAGCGGCGGACGGGUGAGUAACACGUGGAUAACCUACCUAUAAGACUGGGAUAACUUCGGGAAACCGGAGCUAAUACCGGAUAAUAUUUUGAACCGCAUGGUUCAAAAGUGAAAGACGGUCUUGCUGUCACUUAUAGAUGGAUCCGCGCUGCAUUAGCUAGUUGGUAAGGUAACGGCUUACCAAGGCAACGAUGCAUAGCCGACCUGAGAGGGGGAUCGGCCACACUGGAACUGAGACACGGUCCCGACUCCUACGGGAGGCAGCAGUAGGGAAUCUUCCGCAAUGGGCGAAAGCCUGACGGAGCAACGCCGCGUGAGUGAUGAAGGUCUUCGGAUCGUAAAACUCUGUUAUUAGGGAAGAACAUAUGUGUAAGUAACUGUGCACAUCUUGACGGUACCUAAUCAGAAAGCCACGGCUAACUACGUG
rnacentral:rRNA from 1 species